AAAAGUGUAAUACUUUUGUAAUUAUUUUAUGACUGUAUAAUUUUUGUAAUUAUUUUUAAAAAUGUAUUAAUAUAUGUAAUUAAUCCUUUAAGUUUUCUACUAUCCCAUCCCCCAAGGCCCAAGGCCCAAGGCCCAGAAUCAAAAAGGCAGGGGAAGAAAUGGAGGGUAUAUUAGUAAAUACGAUAAAUUCAUAUAAAAUUGCCGAUGAAGAAACCCUAAUCAUCUCUCUUUUAAACCCCGCAUUGCAGAGUAGCGGCAGAGUUUCUCACACGGUGCAUGGUAAGCAGGUAAAUCCUCUCCCGUCAAUAUCUUCUUUGUUUGUUAUAGGGUUUUCAUGUAGGAGGCCUCUAGAGUAGCCAUAUGAAUUAUUUGGAGUUUCAUAUAUUGGCUUAGUUAUGAGGCUGAUACUGAUAAUUGGAUCGAUCCAGAACGUAUAUUUUUACUGCUGGAUCUCAUUGCUGUGGCAUCUUGAAGGGAAUUGUUUGUUUGACCCAUCAAUUUUCCCCCAAGCAGCCUUAGACAUACACACAUAUAUAUAUACAUAUAUAUAUAUAUAUAUAUAUAUAUAUAUAUAUAUAUAUAUAUAUAUAUAUAUUUGAAUUUAGANNNNNNNNNNNNNNNNNNNNNNNNNNNNNNNNNNNNNNNNNNNNNNNNNNNNNNNNNNNNNNNNNNNNNNNNNNNNNNNNNNNNNNNNNNNNNNNNNNNNUCGGAAUGGUUUGCAAUUAAGCAAAAUUGCUUUUCGGUUCAGACAAGGGCGCACAUUAAGAGAGUCAAGUGGGUCAGCUAUUUGAUCUGAUCUUGAGCCCUCUCAUCUGAAUUAAUUAUUUUAGGGUAUGGAACUUGCUUUUCUUGGCUAUGUUCCUUUCUGAGAUUGAUUCAGAUUACAUAUUAUUUUUUAUUUUUCCCCCAAUUGGUUUGUUAUUUAAUUUGUUUGAAUUUUUAUUCUACUUAGAUUUGAUGUUUUGGAUUAUUUUUGUAAAAUGUUUGUGUAAAAGAGGUGAAUAAUAUUAUGUUGGUGGUUAGCAUAGCAUGUGUAUGCAGCAGUGAGAUGGUGACCUCAAAUCAAAUAAUAGGGAAGUCGUUAGUUUGAAGUUUAUUUUGAGAUAAGUUGGUCAAUUCUCUAAUAGAUAUGUGUGUCAGUAUUCUAUUGAUCAAUUGACCAACUUACUAAAAAAAUAAUUUUAUGCUAAUCGGAUUCAAAUAAUAUACUCCCUCCUAUUCUUAUUCUGAUAAAAUGACUUUUUAGGAAGUUUAAUUUUAUUCUAUAUAAGUAUCAUUAAUUAGGGAUAAUUGUAGAGAAUGAGAAGAGACAAUUGUGGAGAGAGAAAUAAUUAAUUAGGGACACAAAAGACAUUUUGUAUUAUUUCUGCUUAACUCUAAAAUGACAUUUAAUCUGAAUAGGAGUGAGUAUCAGACAUCUUACCAAGCGAGUUCUUUUUCAUCUUGAGCUCCAUUUUUUUGAUAAUAAUCGAGUUAUCGUCUUAUUGAAACAGCAUCAACCUUGAGGAUUGUCAAAUGUUCUAUUUUAGUCUAAUUGGGUUAGCCAUUCCAUCAAACAUGUUGUGAUCGUUUACUGAAAUAAUUGUUCCCGGACAAUUCAAUCCAUCGGGGAUUUUGUUUCUUUACAUAUUUGGCUCACAAAACCAUUUAGAUUGAAAGCUUCCGUCUAUGUUCUUGGGAUGUAAAGACGAGGGAGGGAGAUUGUGAGUUUGGAAGAAGUGAAAGAUAAAUGUAGAAAAGAAAUCGAUAAUUUGAUUAGACAAAAAAAUAAAAAAUACAAUAAAGAACAUUUAUCUGUUUAAUAAAAUAUCUGUAAUCGGUUCAGUUUAAUUUGGGAGCAAGUCUCUUCUUGAAAUAAUUGAUUGAAAGUUUAAACUUUUGUUUAAUGCCAAAAUUUAACGGGAAGAGAUGGUGUAGAAACAAUCAAGUUUAUCCAGUGCUCUAAAAAUUACAAGGCAUACUUAGGCAGGCAGGCUGUAGAACGUUUUCCAAGGCAGACUAAGCAUUUUCUUGAACUGUCUUAUUUUUUAGUUCAAAUUUAGUCGGUAGAGGAAUUAAACAAAUCCAGGCCUGGAUUUUCUCUGUUACUUAAUUUUGUAUACUACCUUCGUCCAAAAAUGGAAAUCCCAUAGGAUCAAUCAAACAUUCUAUCAUAGGAGAACACUUGAACAUAGUAUUCCUAGGAAAUGCACAUUAGGUAAGAAAAAGUCCAACUACAAGUUUUAACUGCACAAACCAGAUACAUCAAAACCAAAAUUUCGUUGCUCUAUCUCAGAUAAUCAACUGUAUAGAAUGAGGGUGUUUGUAAGAUAUAGUUGCAGGGUAUACAAAAAAGAUAGCUGCCCUAAAUUUACAUGCUUUUGACUACGUUCCUCCCCCCUCCCCCCUCCCCCUCCCCCUCCCCCUCCCACAAAAAAAAAUGCAACUCAAAAACUACAGCAGCUUCAGCUAUCAUCACUGGCAAUAAAAUUUUAGAAUUAGACAGAAUUUGUAAGCCAACAAAAACGAAAAGAUUAGAAAAUAACCUGUAUAUGGAUGGGAGUCAGAAGACCCUGAUGGAUGCGAGGGAGGGGGGAGCAGGGUCUUCGUAGUCGUCUUUGUAUGUAUAUAUAUAUAUAUAUAUAUAUAUAUAUAUAUAUAUUCCGAUAUGAGAAACUCAACCCUCUCAUAUAGUCUUUGAUGCAAAUCUGCAGGCCACCUUAGGAUGAAGAUCUACACAACGAGGUUUUACCCAACGAGACAGAAGCCAGGGAAGAAGCCCAAACACGGGCAUUCUUUGCACCGCCAAGGAAGUUACUGGUUUUCCAUAGUUUCAACUUGGUCCAAAUCCUCUUUAAAUCGAUCAUCUGAAGGACACGUCCCA
rnacentral:lncRNA from 1 species